CCUGAUAGCUCAGUUGGUAAAGAGUCUGCCUGCAAUGCAGGAGACCUUGGUUUGAUUCCUGGGUCAGGA
rnacentral:tRNA from 1 species